GCGAAAUAUCUAGGGCUGGACAAAACUCCCGAACCGAACCGAUCGAAUCGAACCCGAACCGAACAGAACCGAACCCGACGGUUCUUCUCAAGUUAAAUACCCGAACGGGUAUUUGAAUCAAGAACCGACGGGUAUGGUUCGGUUCUCGGUUCUAGGCCAAGACCCGAAUAACUGAAUAAGAACCGAAUCUCCGUAAUUUUUUAAAUUAAUUUAUUUUAAAUAAGUAAAAUUAUUUUAUUUUUUCUAAAUAAAUUUAUUAACUAGUUAAUUUAGUUCAAACCACAAAAUAUGAUUUUCCUAUUUCUAAUAUUCAGUUCAAAAUCGACUUAAUCAAAUUGACCUCAAUUUUAUCCAAAUCUGUUAUUCUACUGUAGUGUCAUUUCUACCGGAGAAAAUCGAAUUAAAGCUCUACAACAUCUCUCUUAAUUAUUUUGCGCUCGCUAUCUUUCUUUUUCUGUAAUUUUAAUAAUCAAAUUUAUGAAGAAUUCAGUAAAGAGAGACGUGAAACACAUAAAAUUGAACUACGUUAUUUUGUAAAAGCUAAUAUUAA
rnacentral:lncRNA from 1 species